rnacentral:rRNA from 1 species
UACGGAAGGCAGCAGUGGGGAAUAUUGGACAAUGGGCGAAAGCCUGAUCCAGCAAUGCCGCGUGAGUGAUGAAGGCCUUAGGGUUGUAAAGCUCUUUUACCCGGGAUGAUAAUGACAGUACCGGGAGAAUAAGCUCCGGCUAACUCCGUGCCAGCAGCCGCGGUAAUACGGAGGGAGCUAGCGUUGUUCGGAAUUACUGGGCGUAAAGCGCACGUAGGCGGCUUUGUAAGUUAGAGGUGAAAGCCCGGGGCUCAACCCCGGGAACUGCCUUUGAUACUGCAUGGCUUGAAUCCAGGAGAGGUGAGUGGAAUUCCGAGUGUAGAGGUGAAAUUCGUAGAUAUUCGGAAGAACACCAGUGGCGAAGGCGGCUCACUGGACUGGUAUUGACGCUGAGGGUGCGAAAGCGUGGGGAGCAAACAGGGAUUAGAUACC